UACAGAGGUCUCAAGCGUUGUUCGGAAUUACUGGGCGUAAAGGGUGCGCAGGCCGCGCGGGCAGUCAAAUGUGUAAUUCAGGGGCUCAACCCCUGCACUGCGCUUGAUACUUCCGCGCUCGAACCUUGGAGAGGAGUCUGGAAUUCUCGGUGUAGCAGUGAAAUGCGUAGAUAUCGAGAAGAACACUUAGGGCGAAAGCAAGACUCUGGACAAGUGUUGACGCUCAUGCACGAAGGCUAGGGUAGCGAACGGG
rnacentral:rRNA from 1 species